rnacentral:rRNA from 1 species
UACAGAGGGGGCAAGCGUUGUUCGGAAUUACUGGGCGUAAAGGGCGCGUAGGCGGCCUUCUAAGUCGAACGUGAAAUCCCCGGGCUCAGCCCGGGAACUGCGUCCGAUACUGGAAGGCUUGAAUCCGGGAGAGGGAUGCGGAAUUCCAGGUGUAGCGGUGAAAUGCGUAGAUAUCUGGAGGAACACCGGUGGCGAAGGCGGCAUCCUGGACCGGCAUUGACGCUGAGGCGCGAAAGCCAGGGGAGCAAACGGG